rnacentral:misc_RNA from 1 species
GAUGAAGAAACGUAGUGAAAUGCGAUAAGUAAUGUGAAUUGCAGAAUUCAGUGAAUCAUCGAAUCUUUGAACGCACAUUGCGCCCGCCAGUAUUCUGGCGGGCAUGCCUGUUCGAGCGUCAUUUCAACCCUCAAGCCCAGCUUGGUGUUGGGGAUCGGCACAGGCGCCCUCGGGCGCCCGCCGUCCCCUAAAUCUAGUGGCGGUCCCGCUGCAGCCUCCUCUGCGUAGUAGUUUUCUCCUCGCAAGGGCAGCUCGGUGGCGACCUCGCCGUAAAACCCCCAACUUCUGAAAGGUUGACCUCGAAUCAGGUAGGAAUACCCGCUGAACUUAAGCAUAUCAAUAAGCGGAGGA